rnacentral:rRNA from 1 species
AAUGAACGUUGGCGGCGUGGAUUAGGCAUGCAAGUCGAGCGAGAAGUUCCUUCGGGAACGGACAGCGGCGAAAGGGAGAGGAAUACGUAGAAAUCUACCCCUGAGACCGGGAUAGCGUCGGGAAACUGGCAGUAAUACCGGAUAACGUCUUAGGACCAAAGGUGUGAUUCCACUUGGGGAUGAGUCUACGCCCUAUUAGCUAGUUGGUGGGGUAAUGGCCUACCAAGGCAAUGAUGGGUAGCGGGUGUGAGAGCAUGACCCGCCUCACUGGGACUGAGAACUGCCCAGACACCUACGGGUGGCUGCAGUCGAGAAUCUUUGUCAAUGGACGAAAGUCUGAACAAGCGACGCCGCGUGCGGGAUGAAGGCCUU